rnacentral:rRNA from 1 species
AUUGAACGCUGGCGGCAUGCUUUACACAUGCAAGUCGAACGGCAGCGCGGGGGCAACCCUGGCGGCGAGUGGCGAACGGGUGAGUAAUGUAUCGGAACGUAUCCUGUAAUGGGGGAUAACCAGUCGAAAGAUUGGGUAAUACCGCAUACGCACGAGAGUGGAAAGUAGGGGAUCGCAAGACCUUACGUUAUAGGAGCGGCCGAUAUCUGAUUAGCUAGUUGGUGGGGUAAAGGCCUACCAAGGCGACGAUCAGUAGCUGGUCUGAGAGGACGACCAGCCACACUGGGACUGGGACACGGCCCAGACUCCUACGGGAGGCAGCAGUGGGGAAUUUUGGACAAUGGGCGAAAGCCUGAUCCAGCCAUGCCGCGUGCAGGAAGAAGGCCUUCGGGUUGUAAACUGCUUUAGUCUAGGAAAAAGGGGUGCGAGGUUAAUACCCUCGUGCUUUGAUGGUACUGGAAGAAUAAGCACCGGCUAACUACGUG